CAAUGGGGCAUGAAGACGCUGGGGUGUGAAGAAACUAGAUAUGAAGAAACGGGGUAUGAAACUGACAAAAGAGGAACUGGGAGGGGGACAAGGGGUCCCUUAAAUGCCAGCUCA